AGACAGAUUUAGAUCGAGGACGUGGACGUCACAGACGACGUGAAAAUGGCGUGUUGUGCCCAUGUAUGGAUGUGCCACGUCAUUUUCACGUCGUCUUUGACGUCCGCGUCCUCGAUCUAAAUCUGUCU
rnacentral:miRNA from 1 species